rnacentral:rRNA from 1 species
UACGGAGGGUGCAAGCGUUAUCCGGAUUCACUGGGUUUAAAGGGUGCGUAGGUGGGUUGGUAAGUCAGUGGUGAAAUCCCCGAGCUUAACUUGGGAACUGCCAUUGAUACUAUUAAUCUUGAAUACCGUGGAGGUUAGCGGAAUAUGUCAUGUAGCGGUGAAAUGCUUAGAUAUGACAUAGAACACCAAAUUUGCGAAGGCAGCUGGCUACACGAAAUAUUGACACUGAUGCACGAAAGCGUGGGGAUCAAACAGG